rnacentral:rRNA from 1 species
CCGGUUGAUCCCGCCGGACCCGACUGCUAUCAGAAUAGGACUAAGCCGUGCGAGUCAACGUAGCAAUACGUGGCAUACGGCUCAGUAACACGUAGUCAACAUGCCCAGGGGACGUGGAUAACCUCGGGAAACUGAGGAUAAACCGCGAUAGGUCAUAGUAUCUGGAAUGAUUUAUGGCUUAAAUCUAUAUGGCCUCUGGAUUGGACUGCGGCCGAUCAGGCUGUUGGUGAGGUAAUGGCCCACCAAACCUAAAACCGGUACGGGCUCUGAGAGGAGAAGCCCGGAGAUGGGCACUGAGACAAGGGCCCAGGCCCUAUGGGGCGCAGCAGGCGCGAAAACUCUGCAAUAAGCGAAAGCUUGACAGGGUUAUUCUGAGUGAUUUCCGCUAAGGAAAUCUUUUGGCACCUCUAAAAAUGGUGCAGAAUAAGGGGUGGGCAAGCCUGGUGUCAGCCGCCGCGGUAAUACCAGCACCCCGAGUGGUCGGGACGAUUAUUGGGCCUAAAGCAUCCGUAGCCGGUUCUACAAGUCUUCCGUUAAAUCCACCUGCUCAACAGAUGGGCUGCGGAGGAUACUAUAGAGCUAGGAGGCGGGAGAGGCAAGCGGUACUCAGUGGGUAGGGGUAAAAUCCGUUGAUCCAUUGAAGACCACCAGUGGCGAAGGCGGCUUGCCAGAACGCACUCGACGGUGAGGGAUGAAAGCUGGGGGAGCAAACCGGAUUAGAUACCCGGGUAGUCCCAGCUGUAAACGAUGC